rnacentral:rRNA from 1 species
ACGGAGGGUGCAAGCGUUAUUCGGAAUUACUGGGCGUAAAGGGCGUGCAGGCGGGAGAGCAAGUCUGAUGUGAAAGCCCGGGGCUUAACCCCGGAAGGGCAUUGGAAACUGCUUUUCUUGAGUUCUGGAGAGGAAGGGAGAAUUCCCGGUGUAGAGGUGGAGGGCGUAGAGAGCGGGAGGAAAAGCAGUGGCGAAGGAGCACUUCUGGACAGCAACUGAUGCUGAGACGCGAAAGUGUGGGGAGGAAACAG